rnacentral:lncRNA from 1 species
GUCUGGCCAGUACAGUCUUAAACUUAAUUACAUCAUCGUUUCCAUAGGCCAUAUGAACGUAUUUCUUUUUAGACCAUAGACUCUCUGAGAGCAGAGGUCAUGUGACACUGGUCUUUCUGUAACUUGGCACUGGCUCAGCCACUGUAUUGUGGGCACAAGGCAGUGGGCAGUAAGUGAAGGGGUUGGUGGAACUACCAGGUUGGAAAUACUUUUAGUAUAGAAAUUUUCUUGGAUCUGAAAGUACGAGAUGAUCCACGGUUAAUAAACAGGGAUAGCCAGCGGCAGCAGGUAAGCCACGUUUGGGCGACAAUAGUCAGCUCACGCACUUGAGAGUGAGGUUGUAUGGGGACAUAUCCUAACAAAGGAGGCAGACCUGAGACACUUGGAGGAAUGACUCGUUGUCACCCAGGGACAGAAACAAGGGGUGGGGGGAGGAAAAGGGAUGUAAAACUGGUAUGCCAUUUCUGGCCUGAAAAUCAAGGUUCUUUCUGUCAUAAACAGGAAUGAGAAAGGUGGAAAGAAAAGUUAGUUUGUGGUGCAAGAUUAGUUUGUGUCCUUGAACUUCAGUGUCCAUUAUUAAAUAGGAGCCGUACUUGCUCUGAUGAAAUGAGAUAAUGAAAGCACUCUGUAAACUAGGAAGGACCAGAUGAUUGUAAUGUGUUAGUGAUAAUCGUUAUCAUUUUAAUUAUAUUUAAAUACAUCCUGCCAGCAGGUAGAAUAAAGACCUGAAGUGCUAUUUGGGAUCCAAAGGGAGGGCUGAGCCACCUGAGGAAGCAGGCAUGAAUGGGGAGAGGCAGAGGAGCCAACAGAUCUUUAGGAAUGCAGAAGAAAAUAGGUUUUUUCAAAGGAAUCCAAGGAGCAGUGAGAACUCCCGGAGAAGUUUGGAUAGUGCACUGUGGUAGAAACCAAGACUGUGGGGAGUUUUUAGACGGUAGAAAUGUUCAGCAGCGGCCGGGCGCGGUGGCUCAUGCCUGUAAUCCCAG